UACGUAGGUGGCAAGCGUUGUUCGGAAUUAUUGGGCGUAAAGGGCGCGUAGGCGGUCUUGUAAGUCAGCUGUGAAAGCCCGGGGCUCAACCCCGGAGGGUCGGCUGAUACUGCAGGACUGGAGUACGGAAGAGGUAGCUGGAAUUCCCGGUGUAGCGGUGAAAUGCGUAGAUAUCUGGAGGAACACCGGUGGCGAAGGCGGCAUCCUGGACCGAUAUUGACGCUGAGGAGCGAAAGCUAGGGGAGCAAACGGG
rnacentral:rRNA from 1 species